AGGUAACGUCAAGACUCACGGGUAUUAACCGUAGGCUUUUCUUCUCUACUGAAAGUGCUUUACAACCCGCAGGCCUUCUUCACACACGCGGCAUUGCUGGAUCAGGCUUGCGCCCAUUGUCCAAUAUUCCCCA
rnacentral:rRNA from 1 species